rnacentral:rRNA from 1 species
GUGGGGAAUAUUGCACAAUGGGGGAAACCCUGAUGCAGCGACGCCGCGUGAGCGAAGAAGUAUUUCGGUAUGUAAAGCUCUAUCAGCAGGGAAGAAGAAUGACGGUACCUGACUAAGAAGCACCGGCUAAAUACGUGCCAGCAGCCGCGGUAAUACGUAUGGUGCAAGCGUUAUCCGGAUUUACUGGGUGUAAAGGGAGCGCAGGCGGUGCGGCAAGUCUGAUGUGAAAGCCCGGGGCUCAACCCCGGUACUGCAUUGGAAACUGUCGUACUAGAGUGUCGGAGGGGUAAGUGGAAGUCCUAGUGUAGCGGUGAAAUGCGUAGAUAUUAGGAGGAACACCAGUGGCGAAGGCGGCUUACUGGACGAUAACUGACGCUGAGGCUCGAAAGCGUGGGGAGCAAACAGGAUUAGAAACCCUAGUAGUCC